rnacentral:rRNA from 1 species
GAACGCUGGCGGCGUGCCUAAUACAUGCAAGACGAGCGAACAGACGAGGAGCUUGCUCCUCUGACGUUAGCGGCGGACGGGUGAGUAACACGUGGAUAACCUACCUAUAAGACUGGGAUAACUUCGGGAAACCGGAGCUAAUACCGGAUAAUAUAUUGAACCGCAUGGUUCAAUAGUGAAAGACGGUUUUGCUGUCACUUAUAGAUGGAUCCGCGCCGCAUUAGCUAGUUGGUAAGGUAACGGCUUACCAAGGCAACGAUGCGUAGCCGACCGGAGAGGGGGAUCGGCCACACUGGAACUGAGACACGGUCCAGACUCCUACGGGAGGCAGCAGUAGGGAAUCUUCCGCAAAGGGCGAAAGCCUGACGGAGCAACGCCGCGUGAGUGAUGAAGGUCUUCGGAUCGUAAAACUCUGUUAUUAGGGAAGAACAAAUGUGUAAGUAACUAUGCACGUCUUGACGGUACCUAAUCAGAAAGCCACGGCUAACUACGUG